UGGGCUCUGCCAUGUACGUGGAUCGAGGUAUAAUUUUAAAGACCUAUAACAAUAUUUUGGGAACCCGUCUUUGGUAGCGGAGUAUAUUCUCAAGCAGAAAAAUACAAAACUAUCAUUGGGAAGACCACCGUAGAAUACGGGUCAGAAAAAAGUCUCACACGGCAUUGCGGUGGAGCCUC
rnacentral:other from 1 species